CCGCCGGGAGACGUCUGGCCUCUGGGGCGAGGUGACAGCUCGAGACGCCUCCGCCCCGCGCCGGCACCUGUGUGGGGGAGCGGAUGGGGGGCGUCCUCUUCUCCCCGGGGAGCUGCAGUGGCUCCAGGCCGUUCUCCUCCCCUGAGCAUCCAUGAAGACCCCCACCAGAAGCCGCAGCCCCAGGGGCUUCUGUCGCCAAAUACUCCCACACUCGGAGGUAAAGGUACAAAUCCUGGCCAGAGCAUCCGAGCCUUGGACCCGUUUCUCGGCUUCCUUGGCCUUCCCGCCCUGCCCUCCAGCUCCCUAAAAGCUGUGCCUUUGCACGUGUCCCUGUGCCUGAAAUCCGCCUCCCCGGGGCACUGGGGAAGCCCCGAUCUGCCAUCGUGCCUUUGGUCCUGCUCCCUUUCAUUUGACCUGAAAAUGUUUACUGCAUGCUCCCUGCUGCCCUAGCCCUGCCCUGAGCCCUGGGAAAGGGCAUGAGGAGAGAGACCUGGUUUCUGCCCUCCUGACUCUCCCCUUGGACAAAUGGUGAUGCCUACUGCAGCAUAUCUUUGCAGGAUGUGACAGAGCUAACAUUUAUUGAGCAUGUACUAUGGAUUCCACCUGUUCUAGACACUUCAUAUUUAUUAUCUCCUUAUAGUCUCACCACAGCCCUGCUGUGCAGAUAGUAUCAUUUCCAUCUCACAGAUGAGGAGACUCACACGGAAAGGCGGCGCUCCCUGCUCGGGGUCACACAGUGACGCAGGUGACAGGUGACCCAGCUGAAGUGGGAACCCAAGCAGCUUGGGCUACAGGGACUGCACACCUCCGCUCCAUUGUGGCUCCAGAGGGGUGGAGGCAAGGACGAGAUGGACAAGAGACCACCACAGGAGCGUGCUUUGCCUCAGGGUCAGGGAGAGCUUCUCCCAGGACCUGAUACUUUAGCCGAGAACUGAAUGAGGAGUUGAGAUUCAUAAGGUGCAGAGGGCAAGAGCUAGAUCAAGGUUCAAACACAAUUCUUUUCAAAACAUACAGAGCUCGCAAGAAAGUAAAAGAAAUCUGAGUCCAUAAAGAAAGAAGUAAAUAGAAUAAUGGACUCCCAAAGUCUGCCCACUGAGCAGGAGGCAGAUGUGAAACUCACAGUGGUCCUGGGCAGACCUGGACCCCCACGGGGUCUGAGGUCCCGGAAGCAGAGCCUGAGGCAGGGAUUCCAGAGCAAGCCCUUUGGUUGGAGGUGGGGAUAGCAGCCCUGGGGAGUGGGGAAGUGGUCCAGGGUGGGGAAGGAGGCUGGCAAGCAUGUGGUACUCAGCAACCCCCCGCAGUGGGGAAAUGGAGCCUGACCCCAGAGAGGUACUCUGGGAAGUGGUGUAAACUGUGAGCCUCAGGUGAACUCACCCAAGGGAUGAGGGAACAGGUAUUUCACAGCGACACCCAAGAGUCAUUGAUUGAGGGCUGCCCCGAGGGAUGCUUUCUCCUGCACCCUCCACUUGGCACCCACACAGAGCCCUCCGGGGAGCCAGGGUGGUCCCAGGUCAGUAGCAUCCCUGCUUGCAAAAGCAAAACCAACGAUGAAUACUCUGGAGAAAGCAAGCCCCAACUUAGGGACUGAGGUUCCCACAGAUUUAACUGAAUCAAAUAUGAGUUCAAAAUGAAAAAUCAGCACAUGUCUAAAGAAAGCAAGCCUCCAAGUGAGACUCAGCUGACAGUGACGAGCAACAGAUUUAAAUCACCACAAACUUUCUAAAUGGAAAAUAUCAAAUAUAGGAUAUAAAAUUAACCUAUUUGUUAUGCUUAAGAUAUAUUAAAAUAAGGAACAAAGCACUAUGAAACCAAUCACCAUGCUUAUCAGAAAAAAAUAGAACCUCUAGAAAUGAAAAACUUUUCAUUGAAAUGAAAAGGUCAGCAGAAACCUUGAAAGAAUUACGGUAACUGAAAGAAGCCAGUCACAAGAAAACACAUUGUGUGGUUUUCUUUUUAUGAAAUGUCCGGAAUAAACAAUCCAAGAGAGACAGAAGGUAGCUUAGUGGUUGCCUUGUGCUAGAAGGGUGGGAUAGGGGAAUCAGUCCUCCUUAGGGACUGGUAAUAGGCACUACUAAUAAAUAAAGUGAUAAAAGCACUCAUUUAGGAGUGAUGAAAAUGUUCUAAAAAUAGUGAUUAUGGUCACACAACUCUAUGAAUAUACUACAGACCCCUGGCUUGUAUAUUUAAAAGGGUAAAUGCUAUGGUAUGUGAAUGAUAUCUCAAUAAAGGUGUUUAAAAAAAUA